rnacentral:rRNA from 1 species
CCUACGGGUGGCAGCAGUGGGGAAUAUUGCACAAUGGGGGAAACCCUGAUGCAGCGACGCCGCGUGAGUGAAGAAGUAAUUCGUAAUGUAAACCUCUAUCAGCAGGGAAGAAAAUGACGGUAACUAAGUAAGAAGCCCCGGCUAACUACGUGCCAGCAGCCGCGGUAAUACGUAGGGGGCAAGCGUUCUCCGGAUUUACUGGGUGUAAAGGGAGCGUAGACGGCAUUGCAAGUCAGGGGUGAAAGCCAGGGGCGCAACCCCUGGACUGCGUUGGAAACUGUAAGGCUGGAGUGAAGGAGAGGUAAGUGGAAUUCCCGGUGUAGCGGUGAAAUGCGUAGAUAUUGGGAGGAACACCAGUGGCGAAGGCGGCUUACUGGACUGUAACUGACGCUGAGGCACGAAAGCGUGGGGAGCAAACAGGAUUAGAUACCCUAGUAGUC